UACGUAGGGUGCAAGCGUUGUUCGGAAUUACUGGGCGUAAAGAGCUCGUAGGUGGUUUGUCGCGUUGUUCGUGAAAACUCACAGCUUAACUGUGGGCGUGCGGGCGAUACGGGCAGACUGGAGUACUGCAGGGGGAGACUGGAAUUCCUGGUGUAGCGGUGGGAAUGACGCAGAUAUCAGGAGGAACACCGGUGGCGAAGGCGGGGU
rnacentral:rRNA from 1 species